rnacentral:lncRNA from 1 species
AGCCACCGUUACCAAUUGCUAUGAUUGGUUGGUUACAUACACACACACAUGUAUUACAUAUUUCACAUUACCACUCCUGAUCAGAGUCCUGACCAAGAAUCUGUGGAGUGGAUAUGAUGCUUUUCAGUUUCACUUAAUGUGGAAAAGGUAGUGAACCACAGCAAUGGAAGUAGCCGUCCGCGUCAUACCAAAACCGCUUUGAGAUCUGAGCUUCUCUGAUUAGAUAUUCACCCCAAUCUUUUUCCCCAAACUCUUUGUGUAUCUCUCGUGCAUCAAAUGUAUUUGAUUUCCUUUCAUCCCUUCUGUAGGUUGUAUUCAUCAGCGUGACAUGUAGCUGCAAGAGAAAAAAAGGAACAGGCAUGAAGGAGCAAAGAUGAGACCAUAUUUCUUCAAUCAUUCUCCUAGUAAACGAGAGUUUUUUUCAGUUUCAAAUACAAAGGAAUACUCAAAAGGCAAAGGAGUAAAUAAUAAGAGUAAACAAUAAAACCAUUUACCUUCAAGUGUAGCUUUGCAUCUCUCCCAGCAAAUCCAGCAUUCGCAAAUGCAUCAAUGAUAGUAUCUGAAUUAGGGAGUUAAAAGAAUUCGACAGAUCUUGCAAACUGAGACUAGGAUAUAAAUCCAUGUGUAUAUAAACUAACUUUUCCUAAAUUGUUUUGCAAUGAAAUAAUACAAAAAUACUUUUUGCAGAAUAAAAUUUUCGUAGAAAAAUCUACUCAAAACAUUUUAUAUUAACUUAUAAUACACCAAAAUAGUAUAUUUAGCAGAAAUAAUAUUUACCUGUAUUUUUCAUUCACAAAGAUUAUUUUACAAUUUUAGAGUAAAUAAUAUAAAACAAUUAAAGGAUAUUAAUAGUGGUUUCGUUUUAAAAAGGAUAUGCCAUUUAUAAUAACAUUUCAUAAUAAAAAGCUUCAAAACAUUUAUACGAAGCAUGGCUUUAAAUAUAAAAAUGAAUUUAGAGGUAUGUUGAAGAUGGUAUGAGUCAGUGCUUUACAAAAAAAUUUGUCUAUCUUAAACCAAAGGGACAUGAGUAAAAAGAAUAAGUUUUGGCGAUAAUAGGAUGCGACAAGCCCUUAGCAGCCGGCCUUCAUCCCCAACUUCUUCGACAGGUGCAUAGAGCACGCGCGUUUUCUCUAAAGAUCCAUUCAUAGAACUCUUAUCAAGAGAAAAACAUACAAACCAGACCAUUGGGGAUUAAGUUAAAGUUUAUGUUUCAGCCACUAGAAAUAUUGUAGUAACGCAAAGCCAAAUAUGUUCCAUCUUACCAAUCCCUUAAGUCGUAUGAAGACAGGACGGUUAUCCAAAGCAUACAUCACACACGCAGAGAUACUCUUAAUUUUCAAAAGAAAAAGAUAAAGACCUCAAUCAUCAAAACCAAUCCUAUAAAAAUGCAUACAAUAUCUCUUAACUCACAGGCAACAAACUCUACCUUAAGGAUAUCCUGAGCAGCAUCCACAGCUUCCUUGUUUACUAGCCUUAACAUAACCACAGUCAAGUGUAAACUAUUUGGCGAAAUAAACAUCCUGUUUUCGAUUCCCAUUUCUGUUUAAUGUCAAAGAUGGCAUGUCAUGAAAACAAAUUUUAUAUUAAACCCUACAUUAUUAAUUUGUUUAUUUCUGUUUUGUUUAAUCUUACCAUCCAAAGUGCUCUGAAACUUCAAAGGUUUCUUAUCCUUAUUGUCACCCAAUAUAGAAUUCCGAAAAGUCUCAACCUUUUCUUUAAGCUCAGGGUGUAUGGCUAAUGGAAAUGAGAUAAAGUGUGUGUACAGUUCUCUAUAAACUUGUACAAUCUGAUAUACCAACAAUUUCAAGAUUUCAGUGAUCAUCGUAAGUAGGAAAGAAAAAGCAGGAACGAGAUUGGGGAUUAGGCUGAUGAUUAAGAAUCUCAAAAAUAGAUCAGCAAACCUGUUUGCCUUUGGAGACAUGUGGACUGGGAUGAUCAGUGGAAGAUCCCCCGUGAUUCCCUAAUGAUAAAUUCUGCUUUGACGAGUCCUUGAACAAAUCUGUUUUCACAUGAUUGUCAUCCGAUCGAUCACACACAAUAAAACUACACAAGCAUAAUCCAAAAACGUACUAGCCGAGAACAAGCAAGAGAGAGAGAGAGAGAGAGAGAGAGAGAGAGAGAGAGAGAGAGAGAGAGAGAUACCCAUAGCAUGAUCUAAGAUUUUGCCGCGUUUAAGACUUUCCAGUUUCUCGUUAAAAGUCCUGUUUUUAAACGUAUAAAUAAGACGUGGUCGACGACCCCACCAAGGCACAAGGCUUUUCCACAAAGUUUCAUGCUACAAAGCUUUUCAACUAAGUUUGUGACAAAAAAAAAAAAAAAGCUUUUCAACUAAGUUCUUUUCUUGACCAAAAAAACAUAAAUGAGAGUUAGUCGACGACCCACCAAACCAUAUUGUGAUACAAGGUUUUUCAACUAAGUUUUAUGAUACAGUAGAAACUUUACAAAUUAGUAAAUAAAAUAACCUAAUAAAUUGAUUUGGUUUUAUGUCGGACAUAAAUAUGACGCAAUUUGAUAAAAUAAUAAGAUAAUAAAAUUUUAUUUUUUAUAUAUACAUGGUCCAGUUAAAAUAAUAAAUUAAGAUUUCUAUAUAUAACUUAAAUAAAUUUUAUAUAAACGUAAAAAAAUAUAUUAUAUUGUUUGUCUUUCUUUAAAAUAAAAUUCAUCCUUAAUUUGUUCCAUUUCAAUAUUUUGGUGUUAUUUUAUCAAAUUACCAGAUCAAUUAAUCUAAUAAAAAUAGAUAAUUCAAAUCUGCAAAAUUUACCUGGAAUCAGUUUACUUCAUAUAAAAUUGAAAAGAAAAAUAUUUUACAAAUACAAUCUAAAAAGAAAAAAACUUUAAAUUAAUUACUCAACAAAUAAAUUAUCAUAUUUUAACUAUUAAUUUGUGUAAAUGCCGGUGGCGGUCCUAGAAUUUUGCGAACAAUAAAUAUUUACCUAGAUGUAUAUUAUUUCUAAAAAAAUUGAAGACCAAAGCCAAUAGAAGUGAUACAAAGAGUGAGUACUCCUUACAAGUUACAACCUACAAUGUGAAUUCCAAUGCGCACAAUCAGAAUCUCCAUAGAAAAGCAAACCUGCUUGUCUUUGACUUUGCAGAAGAGAGAAGUGAGAUGAGGAGUGGAAGUUUCUCCCCGUUCAAAGAGCCGGGUUGAGAUUUUUUUUGUGCCCUGAACAAGAUAAAUGUUGAUACCUUUUGGCUUUUGUUGAAUAUUAGAGUUCUUCUUAUUAAUAUUUUGUAUCAAAUUCUUUCUAAUAAAUUUAGUUUUUGAAAAUAUAAAAUUAAAUUUAGUUAAAUAAAUAUAUAAUCAAUUUUUUAUUUCUCAAAAUUAUUUUUUAAAACUAUUGUUUUCUAUAAUUUUUUUUUUUACAAAAAAUAAACUGUUACCAUGGAUUUUUUUUAAUGUUGGAUAUAUUAUGCUAUUACAAACUCUAAAAAAUAUUACAGACGAUUCUAUAGUCAGCAAUUCUAGCUUCUUUAUAAAAAUUCAAAAGCAUGAUUGUAUCAUCUUCUGGUGUAUAAGUAUUAAUAAAUUAUUGGUUAAACCACUGGACUAAUGAGACUUACACUACUUCGUGAUCUCUUAAAAACUAUUGUUUUCUAUAAUUUCUUUUGACAAAAAUUAAACUCUUAUUAGGCUUUAGGAUCUUCGUAUUAUCUUUUCAUUAAAAAUAAACUCUUGACAUUAUUAGGCUUCGAGAUCUUCGUAUAAUUUAUUUUUUUUCUCUUAAUUGCGAUUAAUUAUAUAAAAAACAUUUAGAUAAAUCAAGUUUAGAUUUACCCUGACCCACUUGAGAACCACUCUAAAGUUACACAACCUUAAAACGUUUUCCUCCAAGUCCUCGUAUGAGAGAGUGUAGUUAUACACCUCUAUUUGGCUUUCAGCCUCUUAUAACAAGAUUUGAUUAUUAAUAAAGAAACUAGUAGAAUAGGAAAAUUUCAGUCAGUAUGUUUAGAGUUAUUUUGUUUAUUCAGUAUAGCAAACCAUAUUAUAUAUGAAGUGUAAAUCAAAACACAUUAAUGUCACAAGCCACAGUUACCAACUGCUAUAUAUGAUACACACACAUGCAUUACAUAAUUGACAUUACCACUGAUCAUAGUCUAUUUUGACCAAGAAUCUGUGGAGUGGAUAGUGAUCCUUUUCAGUGUCACUUAUGUGGAAAAGGUAGUGAACCACAGCAAUGGAAGUAGCCGUUCGCGUCAUACCAAAACCGUUUUGAGAUCUGAGCCUCUCUGAUUAGAUAUUCACCCCAAUCCGUUCUCCCAAACUCUUUAUGUAUUUCUCGUCCGUCGAAAGUCAUCCCUUUGCUUUUA